UAGAGUUUGAUCCAUGGCUCAGGAUGAACGCUGGCGGCGUGCUUAACACAUGCAAGUCGAACGAUGAAGACCGUGCUUGCACGGUUGGAUUAGUGGCGAACGGGUGAGUAUCACGUGAGUAACCUUCCCUUAACUCUGGGAUAAGCCCGGGAAACUGGGUCUAAUACCGGAUACGACCAGUCCUCGCAUGGGGUGCUGGUGGAAAGAUUUAUCGGUUUUGGAUGGACUCCCGGCCUAUCAGCUUGUUGGUGAGGUAAUAGCUCACCAAGGCGAUGACGGGUAGCCGGCCUGAGAGGGUGACCGGCCACACUGGGACUGAGACACGGCCCAGACUCCUACGGGAGGCAGCAGUGGGGAAUAUUGCACAAUGGGCGAAAGCCUGAUGCAGCGACGCCGCGUGCGGGAUGACGGCCUUCGGGUUGUAAACCGCUUUCAGCAGGGAAGAAGCGAAAGUGACGGUACCUGCAGA
rnacentral:rRNA from 1 species